UCUGGAAGAAGUUCCAGGAAAGAAAGAUAAACUUUUCUGUGAGUCUGAGGAAAAUAUUUGUGUAUUGAUCCCAUAAGAAUAAGAUGUAUCAAGCUUCUCGAUGAUGCCAAGGGGAGAAGGGUGAUAAGAUACAGAAUUCUUUGAUGUCACGGCUGAAGCUGAUUGAAAUAACAGAUUAUUAGAUUGAUCAAAUGAUUGCAUAUCUGAUUGUAAAAAAGAGCUCCCGGAAUUAUUAAAUGACUUCUCCAGCAAGGAGCUUCUGCUACUGAACAUUUCUUCCAAAUCUUUCCUAAACUUUUCAAGUGAAAUCUUGCCAGAAUAGCCCGUACGAACCCAUUCAUACAAGAGA
rnacentral:misc_RNA from 1 species